rnacentral:tRNA from 2 species
GGAGAGAUGGCUGAGUGGUCGAAAGCGCACGCCUGGAAAGUGUGUACACAGCGAUGUGUCGGGGGUUCGAAUCCCCCUCUUUCCG